rnacentral:rRNA from 1 species
GCCCGCUCAGAAACUCACAUGAAUUGACGGGGCCCGCACAAGCGGUGGAGUAUGUGGUUUAAUUCGAUGCAACGCGAAGAACCUUACCUGGUCUUGACAUCCCGGAGACCCUUAGGAAACUAGGGGGUGCUUCCAUCUGGAAGAAUCUGGAGACAGGUGCUGCAUGGCUGUCGUCAGCUCGUGUCGUGAGAUGUUGGGUUAAGUCCCGCAACGAGCGCAACCCUUGCCUUUAGUUGCCAGCAGUUCGGCUGGGCACUCUAAAGGGACUGCCGGUGUUAAACCGGAGGAAGGUGGGGAUGACGUCAAGUCCUCAUGGCCUUUAUGACCAGGGCUACACACGUACUACAAUGGCCGAUACAAAGGGCAGCGACACUGCGAGGUGAAGCCAAUCCCGUAAAAUCGGUCUCAGUCCGGAUUGGAGUCUGCAACUCGACUCCAUGAAGUUGGAAUCGCUAGUAAUCGUGGAUCAGCAUGCCACGGUGAAUACGUUCCCGGGCCUU